CCUACGGGUGGCAGCAGUGAGGAAUAUUGGUCAAUGGACGGAAGUCUGAACCAGCCAUGCCGCGUGCAGGAAGACGGCUCUAUGAGUUGUAAACCGCUUUUGUACAAGGGUAAACCUGAAUACGUGUAUUCAGCUGAAAGUACUGUACGAAUAAGGAUCGGCUAACUCCGUGCCAGCAGCCGCGGUAAUACGGAGGAUCCAAGCGUUAUCCGGAUUUAUUGGGUUUAAAGGGUGCGUAGGCGGAUUGAUAAGUUAGAGGUGAAAUCCCGAGGCUCAACUUCGGAAUUGCCUCUGAUACUGUUCGGCUAGAGAGUAGUUGCGGUAGGCGGAAUGCGUGGUGUAGCGGUGAAAUGCAUAGAUAUCACGCAGAACUCCGAUUGCGAAGGCAGCAUACCGGCGCCCGACUGACGCUGAGGCACGAAAGCGUGGGGAUCGAACAGGAUUAGAUACCCUAGUAGUC
rnacentral:rRNA from 1 species